rnacentral:piRNA from 1 species
UGUAAGGGCCUCCUGAGGGGCACUUUGUGU